GCAUAUCAAUAAGCGGAGGAAAAGAAACCAACAGGGAUUGCCUUAGUAACGGCGAGUGAAGCGGCAAGAGCUCAAAUUUGAAAUCUAGCACUUUCAGUGUUCGAGUUGUAAUUUGAAGAAGGUAUCUUUGGAGUUGGCCCCUGUCUAUGUUCCUUGGAACAGGACGUCACAGAGGGUGAGAAUCCCGUGCGAUGGGGAGACCAAUUCUUUGUAAAGUUCCUUCGAAGAGUCGAGUUGUUUGGGAAUGCAGCUCUAAGUGGGUGGUAAAUUCCAUCUAAAGCUAAAUAUUGGCGAGAGACCGAUAGCGAACAAGUACAGUGAUGGAAAGAUGAAAAGAACUUUGAAAAGAGAGUGAAAAAGUACGUGAAAUUGUUGAAAGGGAAGGGCUUUUGAUCAGACUUGGUGUUUAACGAUCUCUUCUCCUUGUGGGAGGGGCUCUUGUUUUAUACUGGGCCAGCAUCGGUUUGGAUGGCAGGAUAAUGACAUUGGAACGUGGCUUCAUUCGUGAAGUGUUAUAGCCUUUGUUGAUACUGCCUAUCUAGACCGAGGACUGCGUCUUUGACUAGGAUGCUGGCGUAAUGAUUAAAAGCCGCCCGUCUUGAAACACGGACC
rnacentral:rRNA from 1 species